GACGAACGCUGGCGGCGUGCUUAACACAUGCAAGUCGAACGGUAAGGCCCCAGCUUGCUGGGGUACACGAGUGGCGAACGGGUGAGUAACACGUGGGUGACCUGCCCCGCACUUCGGGAUAAGCCUGGGAAACUGGGUCUAAUACCGGAUAGGACCGCACCGUGAGGGUGUGGUGGAAAGUUUUUCGGUGUGGGAUGGGCCCGCGGCCUAUCAGCUUGUUGGUGGGGUAAUGGCCUACCAAGGCGGCGACGGGUAGCCGGCCUGAGAGGGUGGACGGCCACAUUGGGACUGAGACACGGCCCAUACUCCUACGGGAGGCAGCAGUGGGGAAUAUUGCACAAUGGGCGGAAGCCUGAUGCAGCGACGCCGCGUGGGGGAUGACGGCCUUCGGGUUGUAAACUCCUUUCACCAUCGACGAAGGUUUUCUGACGGUAGAUGGAGAAGAAGCACCGGCUAACUACGUG
rnacentral:rRNA from 1 species